rnacentral:rRNA from 1 species
UACGUAGGGUGCGAGCGUUGCCCGGAUUUAUUGGGCGUAAAGGGCGCGCAGGCGGUACGGCACGUCCGUUGUGAAAUCGCUCGGCUCAACUGGGCGGGGUCAGCGGAUACGGCCGCACUCGAGCAAGCUAGGGGGCAAUGGAAUUCCCGGUGUAGAGGUGAAAUUCGUAGAUAUUAGGAAGAACACCAGUGGCGAAGGCGGCUCACUGGUCCGGUACUGACGCUGAGGUGCGAAAGCGUGGGGAGCAAACAGG